GAUUAGAAUGGUGGCUCAGGCUUGGCUCAGACACCCCACAUCUUUAGGGAGACACCACCUCUUUCCUUCUCCAAGGCUGUUUGCUGCAUCUGAAAAGACAAUCUGGAACAAGAGGACAGUCAGGCCAGCCAGGGUGGUUCAUUCCUAUAAUCCCAGCACUUUGGGAGGCCAAGGCAGGUGAAUCACUUGAGGUCAGGAGUUCGAGACCAGCCUAGCCAACAUGGGGAAACCCUGUCUCUAUUAAAAAUACAAAAAUCAGCCGGGUGUGGUGGGUGCACCUGUAAUCCUAGCUACUCGGGAGGCUGAGGCAGAAGAAUCGCUUGAACCUGGGAGGUGGAGAUUGCAGUGAGCCGAGAUCAUGCCACUGCACUCCAGCCUGGUGACAGAGCAAGACUCCAUCAAAACAAACAAAAACAAAAACAAAACAAAAAACAAAAAAACCCUAAAACCAAACCAAACAAAAAUGGUUAAAAUUCUACACUUUCUUAUCAUAGUUUACUGCAAUUAAAAAUCAAAACAAAACAAAACAAAAA
rnacentral:antisense_RNA from 1 species